UUAAGUUGUUGCAGUUAAAAAGCUCGUAGUUGAAUUUAGGGAUUAACACGUCGGUCGUUCCACUGGUAUGAACUGGCGUCGUUGAUUUCUCCUUUCUGAGGAACCAUGAUGUCAUUAAUUUGAUGUCGUGGGAAAUCAGGACUGUUACUUUGAAAAAAUUAGAGUGUUUAAGGCAGGCUCGCGCUUGAAUACAUUAGCAUGGAAUAAUGAUAUAGGACGUUCAAACCUAUUUUGUUGGUUUCUAGGAUCAACGUAAUGAUUAAUAGGG
rnacentral:rRNA from 1 species